rnacentral:lncRNA from 1 species
UGGCCAUUCUUCCAGUAGUUUGGAGGCUGCUAAGUUAGAGGUAUUCUUUGGUUUGAGCACUGAGUGUAUCUUGGAUUAAGGAGAUUUGAAUAGAGUCUAGAGGAGCUUUUAUAUUUCAAAAGACUUCUCCUUUAGGUUACCCGAGCUCGUAGAGGGGGCUGAUGAUUAUCUCCCAACUCAAUUCAAAUUUUAUGGAGAAACUUUGAAGAACUGAUUGAGAUUUUCUUUGCACCCUUUUAUAGUUCUCCUUCUCGACCAU